rnacentral:lncRNA from 1 species
GAUAUCAGGCUCUGAGCUGAUGUAAACAAUAACACACCCGAGAGGAAACUCAGAGAUGACACAGAGCUCUCCUCAGAGCUGAAAAAUAUCAGCCUGUUUCAUAUAUUUUGGCAAAAAUUUGUCCGAUAUUGAUACAUAGCCUAUUGAUCUUUUCAUUUCUAGACAACAUCCACAAUCUGAAGGUAGAAAAAUAGGUAGAGUAGAGUAACAGAUGGGCUUUAAUUGUGCUUUUACCUUAAAGUGUAAAUUAUGAUUUUGCUGAUUUUGAUGGAAUUGCUAAUGAGUGUAGGUAUAAGGUAAAUGUAUCUAAUAAAGUGGAGCAGAUACAAGCAUAAGCCCAUCAUUAGCAUAACUGACUCACCUGUUCUGUCUUUUUAGGGUUGGCAUAAAGAUCCAACUCAAACCAAAGAAUUCCACAACAAGCGUCCUGCAGUCCACUCAGAGGCAGGAUGUAUUCAUCAAUUCUCAGAAGCUUAAACCUGUGAGAGUGGUGAGAAGGACCUCCUUUGCUCAUCCUUUACUGGACUAGUGGACUCUUUCUCUCCAGUGUUUCAUCAAUGUUCAAAGGUUUUAAGCAAAUGUGGGGGGGGGGGGGGGGGGGGGGGGGGGGGGGGAGGGAUGGAGGAUAGACCUUUUUUUCAUUUACUUCACACAUAAAUAGCACAGUUUUUUCUAAGUUAAUUUCUUUCAUUAACCUUCGUUUACCACAUUUUGUACUAUUUUAAUAGCUAUUUUUAAAUAAUUUUUUUUUAUAGCUUCAUGUUGUUUUGUCAUAUGAAAAGAAAA